GGGUUCUUCCCGGUACAGAGUACGUUUGACUGCUGGAUAUCGUGAACGCCACUUCACAACGAUGAUCCGUGCCUGUGUCAUCCUUGCCUUGAUCACCUGUGCCUGCGCUGGUUACCUCGGUUAUCCCUAUGGAUACUCCUGGGGUGCCGCAGCUGUACCAGUAUAUACAGCUUCACUAAGCACCUACGGCUACAAUUAUGGAUACGGUUUUCCAACCUAUGGGUAUGGAUACAGCCCAUAUGUUCUCAAUUACGGAUACGGCCUCGGUGGUCUAGGAUACCCCACAAUCAUCGGCAAAAAGUAGAUCUCACUGCUUCACACCCGGACAGCAUCACCGAUCAAUUUUCACGGAACUAAAAAAAAAGAAACAACGCCGACUUCACCGUCCUGACCAAUUCAAAACACAGUAUACAAUAAAUACUGAAAACAUCAUCA